CCUACGGGUGGCAGCAGUGAGGAAUAUUGGUCAAUGGGCGCUAGCCUGAACCAGCCAAGUCGCGUGAAGGAUGACUGCUCUAUGGGUUGUAAACUUCUUUUAUAUGGGAAUAAAGUGAAGUACGUAUAUUGCUUUGCAUGUAUCUUAUGAAUAAGGAUCGUCUAACUCCGUGCCAGCAGCCGCGGUAAUACGGAGGAUCCGAGCGUUAUCCGGAUUUAUUGGGUUUAAAGGGAGCGUAGGCGGGCGGGUAAGUCAGUUGUGAAAGUCUGCGGCUCAACCGUAGAAUUGCAGUUGAUACUGGCAGCCUUGAGUGCAGUAGAGGUAGGCGGAAUGCGUGGUGUAGCGGUGAAAUGCUUAGAGAUCACGAAGAACUCCGAUUGCGAAGGCAGCUUACUGGACUGUAACUGACGCUGAUGCACGAAAGUGUGGGGAUCAAACAGGAUUAGAUACCCGAGUAGUC
rnacentral:rRNA from 1 species